UGGAUUUUUAAGUGGACUUUCCCCCUCAUUAUAAAAGAAAGACGUGCUUGUUGUUCUAAAACAAUUUUCAAGUAAAGUUCAUGAAUUAUAAUAUAGAGCAAUUGUGUGCUGUGAAUAAAUUGGAGUAUAUUCUUUUUCUAUGUGUAUAUAAAUAUUUAUCAACCUAUAGAUUUGUAUUUUUUGAAUCAGUAGAUUGAUACAUGUAUUUGCCUGUAAACCACCAUCCUUUCAAAAGCUUAACAAUAGCUUAUAUUUAUCUCUGCAUGUCAAGAUGUUCAGGUUACCAUAUCCUGUUUAGUGGUGCCUGGCAUUUAUAUUGAUGUGUGGAUAAAUGCUAACGACAACAG
rnacentral:lncRNA from 1 species